GAUGAACGCUGGCGGCGUGCCUAAUACAUGCAAGUCGAGCGAACGGACGAGAAGCUUGCUUCUCUGAUGUUAGCGGCGGACGGGUGAGUAACACGUGGAUAACCUACCUAUAAGACUGGGAUAACUUCGGGAAACCGGAGCUAAUACCGGAUAAUAUUUUGAACCGCAUGGUUCAAAAGUGAAAGACGGUCUUGCUGUCACUUAUAGAUGGAUCCGCGCUGCAUUAGCUAGUUGGUAAGGUAACGGCUUACCAAGGCAACGAUGCAUAGCCGACCUGAGAGGGUGAUCGGCCACACUGGAACUGAGACACGGUCCAGACUCCUACGGGAGGCAGCAGUAGGGAAUCUUCCGCAAUGGGCGAAAGCCUGACGGAGCAACGCCGCGUGAGUGAUGAAGGUCUUCGGAUCGUAAAACUCUGUUAUUAGGGAAGAACAUAUGUGUAAGUAACUGUGCACAUCUUGACGGUACCUAAUCAGAAAGCCACGGCUAACUACGUGCCAGCAGCCGCGGUAAUACGUAGGUGGCAAGCGUUAUCCGGAAUUAUUGGGCGUAAAGCGCGCGUAGGCGGUUUUUUAAGUCUGAUGUGAAAGCCCACGGCUCAACCGUGGAGGGUCAUUGGAAACUGGAAAACUUGAGUGCAGAAGAGGAAAGUGGAAUUCCAUGUGUAGCGGUGAAAUGCGCAGAGAUAUGGAGGAACACCAGUGGCGAAGGCGACUUUCUGGUCUGUAACUGACGCUGAUGUGCGAAAGCGUGGGGAUCAAACAGGAUUAGAUACCCUGAUAGUCCACGCCGUAAACGAUGAGUGCUAAGUGUUAGGGGGUUUCCGCCCCUUAGUGCUGCAGCUAACGCAUUAAGCACUCCGCCUGGGGAGUACGACCGCAAGGUUGAAACUCAAAGGAAUUGACGGGGACCCGCACAAGCGGUGGAGCAUGUGGUUUAAUUCGAAGCAACGCGAAGAACCUUACCAAAUCUUGACAUCCUUUGACAACUCUAGAGAUAGAGCCUUCCCCUUCGGGGGACAAAGUGACAGGUGGUGCAUGGUUGUCGUCAGCUCGUGUCGUGAGAUGUUGGGUUAAGUCCCGCAACGAGCGCAACCCUUAAGCUUAGUUGCCAUCAUUAAGUUGGGCACUCUAAGUUGACUGCCGGUGACAAACCGGAGGAAGGUGGGGAUGACGUCAAAUCAUCAUGCCCCUUAUGAUUUGGGCUACACACGUGCUACAAUGGACAAUACAAAGGGCAGCGAAACCGCGAGGUCAAGCAAAUCCCAUAAAGUUGUUCUCAGUUCGGAUUGUAGUCUGCAACUCGACUACAUGAAGCUGGAAUCGCUAGUAAUCGUAGAUCAGCAUGCUACGGUGAAUACGUUCCCGGGUCU
rnacentral:rRNA from 1 species